GACAGAGGGUGCAAACGUUGUUCGGAAUUACUGGGCGUAAAGCGUGCGCAGGCGGCCUUGCAAGUCGGGCGUGAAAUCCCACGGCUCAACCGUGGAAGUGCACUCGAAACUGCGAGGCUAGAGUCUUGGAGAGGAAGGCGGAAUGCUUGGUGUAGAGGUGAAAUUCGUAGAUAUCAAGCGGAACACCGGUGGCGAAGGCGGCCUUCUGGACAGUGACUGACGCUGAGAUGCGAAAGCGUGGGGAGCAAACAGG
rnacentral:rRNA from 1 species